rnacentral:lncRNA from 1 species
AUAAAUAGCCCUGCGAUUGCACCUCCUUUCCGUUCUGCUGGGUGCCAUGAGAGGCCCCAGGUGUCCUCACCUUUUUCCCAAGACCUGGCUCGCCAAAGAGGAACUGCCUCUUGAGGUGCAGUGAGAACAAAUCUCACCUCUCCCAGCACCCAGCAGGCAGGAACAGGCACGCACUGCUAUCAAGAUUAAUGGAUGAAAAGAAGGCAUUAAUUAAUG